rnacentral:rRNA from 1 species
AAGGUUCCCUCAGAAUGGUUGGAAAUCAUUCAUAGAGUGUAAAGGCAUAAGGGAGCUUGACUGCGAGACCUACAAGUCGAGCAGGGUCGAAAGACGGACUUAGUGAUCCGGUGGUUCCGCAUGGAAGGGCCAUCGCUCAACGGAUAAAAGCUACCCCGGGGAUAACAGGCUUAUCUCCCCCAAGAGUUCACAUCGACGGGGAGGUUUGGCACCUCGAUGUCGGCUCAUCGCAUCCUGGGGCUGUAGUCGGUCCCAAGGGUUGGGCUGUUCGCCCAUUAAAGCGGUACGCGAGCUGGGUUCAGAACGUCGUGAGACAGUUCGGUCCCUAUCCGUCGUGGGCGUAGGAAAUUUGAGAGGAGCUGUCCUUAGUACGAGAGGACCGGGAUGGACAUACCUCUGGUGUACCAGUUGUCGUGCCAACGGCAUAGCUGGGUAGCUAUGUGUGGACGGGAUAAGUGCUGAAAGCAUCUAAGCAUGAAGCCCCCCUCAAGAUGAGAUUUCCCAACUUCGGUUAUAAGAUCCCUCAAAGAUGAUGAGGUUAAUAGGUUCGAGGUGGAAGCAUGGUGACAUGUGGAGCUGACGAAUACUAAUCGAUCGAAGACUUAAUCAAAA